rnacentral:rRNA from 1 species
AGUGAACGCUGGCGGUAGGCCUAACACAUGCAAGUCGAACGGCAGCACAGUAAGAGCUUGCUCUUACGGGUGGCGAGUGGCGGACGGGUGAGGAAUACAUCGGAAUCUACUUUUUCGUGAGGGAUAACGUAGGGAAACUUACGCUAAUACCGCAUACGACUUACGGGUGAAAGCAGGGGAUCUUCGGACCUUGCGCGAUUGAAUGAGCCGAUGUCGGAUUAGCUAGUUGGCGGGGUAAAGGCCCACCAAGGCGACGAUCCGUAGCUGGUCUGAGAGGAUGAUCAGCCACACUGGAACUGAGACACGGUCCAGACUCCUACGGGAGGCAGCAGUGGGGAAUAUUGGACAAUGGGCGCAAGCCUGAUCCAGCCAUACCGCGUGGGUGAAGAAGGCCUUCGGGUUGUAAAGCCCUUUUGUUGGGAAAGAAAAGCAGCAGGUUAAUACCCCGCUGUUCUGACGGUACCCAAAGAAUAAGCACCGGCUAACUUCGUG